GAUGAACGCUGGCGGCGUGCCUAAUACAUGCAAGUCGAGCGAACGGACGAGAAGCUUGCUUUUCUGAUGUUAGCGGCGGACGGGUGAGUAACACGUGGAUAACCUACCUAUAAGACUGGGAUAACUUCGGGAAACCGGAGCUAAUACCGGAUAAUAUAUUGAACCGCAUGGUUCAAAAGUGAAAGACGGUCUUGCUGUCACUUAUAGAUGGAUCCGCGCUGCAUUAGCUAGUUGGUAAGGUAACGGCUUACCAAGGCAACGAUGCAUAGCCGACCUGAGAGGGUGAUCGGCCACACUGGAACUGAGACACGGUCCAGACUCCUACGGGAGGCAGCAGUAGGGAAUCUUCCGCAAUGGGCGAAAGCUUGACGGAGCAACGCCGCGUGAGUGAUGAAGGUCUUCGGAUCGUAAAACUCUGUUAUUAGGGAAGAACAUAUGUGUAAGUAACUAUGCACAUCUUGACGGUACCUAAUCAGAAAGCCACGGCUAACUACGUG
rnacentral:rRNA from 1 species